rnacentral:rRNA from 1 species
AAACGACUCUCGGCAACGGAUAUCUCGGCUCUUGCAUCGAUGAAGAACGUAGCGAAAUGCGAUACUUGGUGUGAAUUGCAGAAUCCCGUGAACCAUCGAGUCUUUGAACGCAAGUUGCGCCCCAAGCCUUCUGGCCGAGGGCACGUCUGCCUGGGUGUCACAA